rnacentral:lncRNA from 1 species
AUGAAGUUCCAAACCUCCCCCCUCCGCCCCCCCGCCGAUGCUGGGACGUCCCGCGGGGCCUCGGACAGACAGACCCCGGUGCAGACAGACGCCGCCUGCCCUGUGGGUGGCAGGGUCCCGCCCGCCCCGGAACAGCAGGGCGUCAGGGAGAGUGGAGGAGACAGUGUCCGCAGGGCUGACCGGCAGGGCCGAUGGGCCUGGCCAGCUCUUCGCUCCAGACAUCCCAGGGCUGUCAGCACACCCCCUCUGCUCAGGGGCAAAGCCUCGGGGGCAGGGGCUCAUCGUGGCUCCUGGCCUGUGGGGGAACCAGGAAACACUCUGUCCUGGUCCUGGGUGUCCCUGUCCACUCCGGGUGAAGGGGCCUCGGAAGAAGGGAUGUGGGCAGCUCUGCUGGGAAGCACCUGUGACGGCGACUGUGCUUUUGCUGUUGGACCCCGUUGGGAAACCUCGGCAAGGACACGGCUGAGACAGCGCACAGGGUCAGGGCGGCCGAUGGGGAAGCGAGGGAGGGCAGACCCAGAGCCGACAUGGACGCUGGUGGGGGGCGGGCAGAGCUGGAGCCUGACCUGGACCUUUCGGUGGGGAGGGUGGCAGGGACGGACCCUCAGCCGACGUGGAUGUAGCAGGGUUGGGGGGGGGGAGGUCUGUGCCUUAGGAGGAGUGGGUCCUGGGUCCCUAGGCUCUGCCCCUGUCUGGAAGCAGCCAUGCAGGGGUACUGGGGUUCUCUCACUCCCAGACCAGCCUGGCUGGAUUCAUUCACACGGAUGUCCAGGCACAGCCUGGAAAGGAAACUCGGCUGGACGUUUCCUCAGAGGAGACCCCCCCCCAGCCCCGUGCCUGGCAGGGAGGGACAGGCAGGGCCGUGGCUCGGGGCCCCGGACGGCAGGGUCAGAGCAAGGAGCCCGUCCUGCCUCAUCAGGUUUGGCUCAGACAUGGGCAUGUGUUUAUGGGGCUGUGGAUGGGGGGCCCCAGUGGGGCAGGCUGGCAAUGCCACCAAGUGAGGAGACCCAACGUCUGGGAAAGGAAAGCCGCUUCUCUGACGGCGAGGCUACGGGCCCAGGGGUGGGGUCGGGAGGCCAGCACACAGGCCUGGUCUCCUCAGGGGCGGCCAGAGCCGGGGUGGGGGGGCGCCCAGGGCUGCAGCCCAGGGCCCUGUCACUCAGAGGCCACAUGGUCCGGGGAGGACGCACACCACGGGGAAGGCCUGACAGCCUGCCCGAGCAGAGGCUGGGGUCCGGGGCGGCCACCUCCAGGCUCCGGUGGCCAUCAGAGCCCACUAUCCAAGACUCUGCUUUGCGACCUCAAAUGAGAGAUGCUUCCCCAGUGAAAACCCGCUAA